rnacentral:rRNA from 1 species
UACAGAGGGUGCGAGCGUUAUUCGGAAUUACUGGGCGUAAAGCGCACGUAGGCGGCUUUGUAAGUUAGAGGUGAAAGCCCGGGGCUCAACUCCGGAAUUGCCUUUAAGACUGCAUCGCUAGAAUUGUGGAGAGGUAAGUGGAAUUCCGAGUGUAGAGGUGAAAUUCGUAGAUAUUCGGAAGAACACCAGUGGCGAAGGCGACUUACUGGACACAUAUUGACGCUGAGGUGCGAAAGCGUGGGGAGCAAACAGG